UACGUAGGGUGCAAGCGUUAUCCGGAAUGAUUGGGCGUAAAGCGUCUGUAGGUGGUUUGACAAGUCUUUUGUCAAAGAUCAGGCUUAACCCUGGGCCGGCAAGAGAAACUAUCAGACUAGAGUUCGGUAGGGGCAGAGGGAAUUCCCGGUGGAGCGGUGAAAUGCGUAGAGAUCGGGAGGAACACCGGUGGCGAAGGCGGGUCUCUGGGCCGAUACUGACGCUGAGGAGCGAAAGCGUGGGGAGCGAACAGG
rnacentral:rRNA from 1 species